rnacentral:rRNA from 1 species
AGAGCGAACGCUGGCGGCAGGCCUAACACAUGCAAGUCGAGCGCCCGUAGCAAUACGGGAGCGGCAGACGGGAUAGUAACACGUGGGAACGCGCCCUUCGGUUCGGAAUAACUCAGGGAAACUUGAGCUAAUACCGGAUACGCCCUUACGGGGAAAGAUUUAUUGCCGAAGGAACGGCCCGCGUCCGAUUAGCUAGUUGGUGAGGUAAUGGCUCACCAAGGCUACGAUCGGUAGCUGGUCUGAGAGGAUGACCAGCAUCACUGGGACUGAGACACGGCCCAGACUCCUACGGGAGGCAGCAGUGGGGAAUAUGGACAAUGGGCGCAAGCCUGAUCCAGCCAUGCCGCGUGGAUGAUGAAGGCCUUAGGGUUGUAAAGUCCGUUUUAACGGGGAAGAUAAUGACGGUACCGUAGAAUAAGCCCGGCUAACUUCGCGCCAGCAGCCGC